rnacentral:lncRNA from 1 species
GUAAGACAUUCCUGAAAGACAACCCACCCUUCAUGCCUGUUGGUGUUGCAGCUUUACCUGGAAAAUGCCCCCCUUCGCCUCUCCCACUUAUUUCUAACUACAUGUAAGAUUAAUCCAUCAGAUUGUCUUCAAGCAGCUAGUACAGUUCUCAAGAACAUCAUGCUUCCAAUCCUGAAUGUAUUUACAAUAGGAAUAUCUUUCCCUGUGGCUGCAAAUCUGUGCCCUCUUUAAUUGGGAAUGAAUUAUGUUGAGCCUGAAGGCAAUUAUUUUAAAGUGAAACAUGUAGUCAGUGGGACUUACAUCUGAGUAGACGUGGAUGCUCUGGUAGCCUGGAUGCCUAAAUGCUGGUCUGAGCUCUAUGUAGAACUGGUUAAGGCUUGCUUUACUCCAUGGAUGGAGUAUGUGUGUUACCUGAAAAGUGGAGUGUCUGCCGCUGGUACAGAUUUUAGUCACUUUAACAUUGAAACUUCUGCCUCACUGAAUUCAGGGUUUAAUGUACUUGAAGCCGUUUCCAUUCUUACUUUAAAACAUGUGUUUUAUUUAUGUGUUUUAUGGGUUAUUGUGAAAGUAUCUUUUCCCAUCUUAUCAUGGAAUCUAAAAUUGAUUUCCGUUCCAGUUGCAUUUCCAAAUGAAUUGGAAAGUGUGUGUGUGUCUGUGUGUGCGCGUGUGCACACGUGCGCAUGUGUGUGCCCAUUUCCUGGGCUCGUAAGAAAGAGUUCCCACAGGGAGACAGCAGCAGCGUUAUGACUUUCCAACGUGAUUACUUGCAAUGUUGAAUUAGCCCUUUCCCUUUUUUUUCCAUUCCCUUUCACACGUUUCAUGAAAAAAAAUGCACUUAUUGAAACACUCCUGGAUGUAUGAUGAAUUGUUGGAGGGGGUGAAGUUGGCGAAAUAGCCUCCUGUGCCAUUCUGUUGUGCAAAAAAAAAAAAAAAAAUCCCAUCGACGAUGUAACUGGUGGCAGAAGCUCACCCUUGGUUCUCAAGAGAGGAUAAGAAGAAAUGGAUGAAGGCUUUCUUUAUGCAGAAGCCUAGGAGCACAGCUGGUCAAAAACUAGUGCUUUAUGCAUGUGUUGUUAUCACUAGGGUUUGUGCAGAAAUUGCAUGUGUGUAAUUGAGGUGAAUGAAGUCCAACACCAGUGCUUCUUAAAUUGCAUCCUUUUCUCCAGGUAUAACUUCAUUACAAAUGAAAGAAUACUGCCACCUUGC